CCUACGGGGGGCAGCAGUGGGGAAUAUUGGACAAUGGGGGGAACCCUGAUCCAGCCAUGCCGCGUGUGUGAAGAAGGCCCUCGGGUUGUAAAGCACUUUCAGUGAGGAAGAACGCCUGGUGGUUAAUACCCAUCAGGAAAGACAUCACUCACAGAAGAAGCACCGGCUAACUCCGUGCCAGCAGCCGCGGUAAUACGGAGGGUGCGAGCGUUAAUCGGAAUUACUGGGCGUAAAGCGCGCGUAGGUGGCUUGAUAAGCCGGUUGUGAAAGCCCCGGGCUCAACCUGGGAACGGCAUCCGGAACUGUCAAGCUAGAGUGCAGGAGUGGAAGGUAGAAUUCCCGGUGUAGCGGUGAAAUGCGUAGAGAUCGGGAGGAAUACCAGUGGCGAAGGCGGCCUUCUGGACUGACACUGACACUGAGGUGCGAAAGCGUGGGUAGCAAACAGGAUUAGAUACCCCUGUAGUC
rnacentral:rRNA from 1 species